CCUACGGGAGGCAGCAGUAGGGAAUCUUGCGCAAUGGGCGAAAGCCUGACGCAGCAACGCCGCGUGAGGGAAGAAGGCUUUCGGGUUGUAAACUUCUUUUAGCAGGAAAGAACACAAUGACGGUACCUGCAGAAAAAGCACCGGCUAACUCUGUGCCAGCAGCCGCGGUAAU
rnacentral:rRNA from 1 species